rnacentral:rRNA from 1 species
UACGUAGGGGGCAAGCGUUAUCCGGAUUUACUGGGUGUAAAGGGAGCGUAGACGGCAUGGCAAGCCAGAUGUGAAAUACCGGGGCUCAACCCCGGGACUGCAUUUGGAACUGUUAAGCUGGAGUGUCGGAGAGGCAGGCGGAAUUCCUAGUGUAGCGGUGAAAUGCGUAGAUAUUAGGAGGAACACCAGUGGCGAAGGCGGCUUUCUGGACUGUAACUGACACUGAGGUACGAAAGCGUGGGGAGCAAACAGG